AUCAGGCAGUAGCUAGAGGCCGUCAGUCCACCAAAUUUCCUGCAGCAGUGCUGGUGAAGGAGAUCCAAGUAAGCACUUCCCUGGUCCUUCCAGGAGUCCUCGAUUGAGACAGAGAGACAUACGCAUCACAGCUGCCUCGCAAGCCUGUGGACUAGCCCUUGGGGGUUAGCUGGCCUUUCCGUGUCCAGUCAGCCAUAUCCGGGCUGGCAGGAAGCAGCCAUGCAUGGCUCCAGAGGGAGGGCCAUGAUGAGUGGCUGCGUACCACCCACGUGCCCAGGACAGCAGAGAGAUGGUUGACAGAAUACAAGGAUGCACGAGAUGCAGGACAAAAGGAGGGAGAAAGAGUCAGGAAAUACAGGGAAAGAAAGGUGGGAGCCUGUGUUUCCGAAGGCAGGUCCCUCAGGAAGUCCCGUGACUGACUUUUUGUAUGAUGUUGGGCUCUUCUCCCGCGAGCUGCUAUCUGAAGACUCAGAAGGAAGCUUCCUGCUGUCGGGACAUGGGCUGCAACAUCUGGAGCUGGGCCCCGGUGAGAAUCAGUUGAAAUCACGUGUGUGAAAGAGCUUGUCCACGGAGCAUCACCCCCGAUGGCUGCUGUUCAAUCUGCUUGGGAACUCCCUUCCAUUACUGAUUCAUGUGAUUCUGGUUGGCUGCUAAUCACGGUCUUUCUCUCCUGGGCCAAAAUAGUGAGAAAGGAACCCAGGUUUGGCCAAACAUAGCCCCCAGUUUUCUUGACCACAGUGAUUUGUCCGGGUCAUGACCACAGGACCCACACAGGCUGGGCCAAUGGGAGAUCCUCUCUAGGGAAGGCUCCCUCGCCCGGGUUUACCAGCUGGGAGGGGUUCAGCAGAGAGCUCUUUGCAGCCCUGGGUUGUGAAUGGAGAAAGCAAGAGUCUUGUAACUUAGAGAGAGAAGCUCUGACUUCUUGUGUCUGAGACCAGUUCCACCUAAAUUCUCCAGAGAUACACAAAUUAUGUUUGCUAAAAUCUUAAAAAAUUCCCUUUUUCCCUUAAGCUGAUUUAAGUUGCCGUCUGAAAUCAUCCCUAAUAAAAUACUCUCUGUAAGUAACUUAUCAUUAUCCAAGAGACUCUUUCAAUGGGUUUCAAGAGCUUAUAUAGAGUUUCUAGCCAGGAACAAUGCCACUUGAAACCCUGUAAUCAAGAAUGGCCUUGCUUCAUGGGAAGAAUCUUUUUUUUUUUUUUUUUUUUAACCAACCGUGUAGCUUAUAGGGAGACACACACUUUAGUGAAGGUAGAAAGGGACCCAACCAGCCAAUGAGUCCAGUCUAGCUCACCUUAAUGAUCCCCUUGGAUGAUAGUUUUGCUUAAAUAUUUCCAAGAAUGGCAGUUUCACUUCCUUGCAAGCCAGACCACCUGAUUGCUGGACCCCUCUUCAUUCUUAGAAAUAAACUCCAAAAUGUUCUCUCUAGACCAUUUUUUGGGGGGAGGGGUGUCUUUGUUUCAUUCACUGAAAAAUGCACAAUAUUUCACCCUGCCAGCCCCAAUUCCAACCCUUCUGAGUGAAUAGCUCUUCAGAUGUGUGAAGAUAGGAAGUUUUGUUUGCCUGAGCCUUUUCUGCUCUGAAUUAAAAAAUCAACUUUGCUCAGGUGACAAGGUUGUUAAACACAUCAUCACACUAACUUCUCUUCCCUGAGACCCUGGCAAUGAGUCAAUGUCAAUUUUCACCCAUGAUGCACAGAACCACAUUCACAACUGCAGCUCUGUUCUUGCCAGGGCAGAACAUACCAGAACAUUCACCACCCUCGAUCUGGACUCUCUGCAGGCUAGAAAUGUUCAUGUCUUUUUUAAAAAAAUCCUUUUCCUACUAUUGAUUCAUAUUGAGCUGAAAAUAAACUAAAACCAUAAAUUCCUCUCUCUUUCUCAUAAGAGCUGUUAACUUGUCUUUUACUUUUAUGGCUUAUUUUUUGAAACCGAGUGGGAGAAGUUAUAUGGAUCUUGAUUUAUUAUUGUGGGCCAUGAUUUUAUGGUUUUGAAAAUACCGAGAAUGUCA
rnacentral:lncRNA from 1 species